UCCACGACAUUCGUGGAAAACACGGCUUCUUUCUGGUGACACCCGGAAAUUCCUAGUUAAUUCUCGUGAUUGUAAAUCGUUCCUCAUGUUAAAGAUAAAGGAGAUAAGAAAAUGUAUCGGACGGAAUACGUUAUACCCUGGGUUCAGAUGCGAGCGAGAGAGGAGUACAUUCUAAAAGCAUCUAGGCAAUAUCCCGUGGUAAGAGAACUUUCCAAACGAAUUCGGAGAGUUUAAUAAUUAACGUCGAGAGCGGCAGUGCUCGCUGAACGUUCUAUUCCGGGGGGUAGUUCGUUCACGCUGAAACUGAGACAAGCCCGUGAGAUACGGAAAAACCAUUUCCCGCCGUAUUCGGAAAUCUAUCACUCGGGAUGAAAUUUUCUUUCCAACCAUUCGAUACUGCUGUCUCGGAUGAUGAUGCACCGGCUUAUCUUGGAUUAAGUAUCAAACUGUCGUCUGCUUGUUCAUAGGGUGAUCUUUAAAUUUGGAUCCGUUCGCUCUUCGAAAUUCGAUCACGUAUUUUAACAACAACAAAGAAGACAGCGCAAAAUCGGCAUAUGAGCGUCUUCAUAGCGUAGAUUUCGAUCUUUCCAAGCCACGGUCUGAUCGUACCAAGCCUAGUCUUUAUUGGUUGGAAAUCUCAAAGGAAAACCAAGGCCACAAGGUCCCGAUGACUACUAAUCUGUGGUACGGUCGACCGAACAGAGUUCAAGUCGAUUUUCCUGGGACUAAAUUUAAUCGAUCGAGCAAAAUGCAAGAGUUCUACAUUCGCUGUGGUUUUAGUCUAGUUAGCGACGAGGAAAACGGAUCGUUCUGCUAGAGUGAAUCUGUUAGGCAAGCUUUUUUGAUUCUCUUUUUUCUAACAUUAGUUCGACCGAUUUUAUUAAUAUUACAUAUAAUAUAAAAUACUAUUGAAAAGUGUUACUAUUCAUUACAUCACAUUUAUGUAGAAUUCGUUAAAACUAUGCUUCGUGUGCAUGUAAAAUAUUAAAUUUGAUUGAUAUUUAAUAAAGUGAUAAAAAGAUUGCGUUAGAAUAUUUAGUAAUAGAGUUCUCGUUUCUUAUAGUUAAGUAUGAAAAAUUGUUUUAUGAAGCUUUUCCAUUUAACCGAAUAAAGCGGUAUACGAGGGAGUUUACCUUUUAGUUAAGUACUUAAAAGAAAAUAAUAUGUAUGACUGAAUUAUUUGUAUGUUCAUGUUUCAGCCGAUUAUUACUCUUGACAUUCUGUAUUAAAUCAUAUUCGCGGCGAAAUCCAUGCUUGAAAGUAGAUUCAGUAAUCAUUAAUCGACUUACACACCUUUUUCAAUUCUUUAUGAGUGACAUAUAAUAAUUUAUAAGGACUUUGGACUGGUAAUUUUCACAUAUUCAGCAAAGCACAAAUUCAACACGUUUCACGUAUUCAUCUACUACCGGAGAUCGAUAUUGCAUCGUUCAAAUUUAAAAUUGCUCGCUUUCUGUGAAGAAUGCUUCUACGAGGUUGCCAUCAUUUUUUGCAACGUAAAUGUUUAAAAUCUGGUUCCCCAGAAAGUUUUUUCUUUGACAGACAGGAUGAAAAUUGGGUAAUUCUGUACGACGUAUGAAACCAAAUUUGUUAUUGGAAAGUGGUGCACGUACGAACAAUAAGGAUAUUAAUCUUAAAAAGACCAAAGUGCUAAGAGUAAGAAUAUAUGCAUGUGGUUAAUGUUACAUGAUCUCCAUUAACGUUUAAUUUAUGUUGUAUUUGGUAUAUUUUAUACGUAUGUAUUUUGUUUUUUUUUUAAAUUUUUUUCUCAGGAAAGGAUGAUAUAAUUAUCCGUAUACAUUUAUGAUUUAAAGAGCAAAACUGCUGCUAAAUGUAUUUGUGAGAGAAUUAAGCGUUGAUAUUGGGCAAAAAUGGGGUGAAAACUUUACGAAUAAAAUGCGCAAGAUGUAAAAUUAUUCUAUAAUUGAAUAACAGUAUUUUAAUAAAAUGUAUUUUUUAAGAGAUUUCGGAAGCCUGAAAGAACUGAGAUAUACAGAGAUAAUAAGAAGCAAAGAUUAACAUAUACGUCCGUUCGUUUCUAUCUCUGAAAAAAAUUACAUUUUAAAUUAAUAAAUUACAUCGUAUCUUUAGAAUGGUUCUGCUUUAUUCAGUUUUGAACGAAUUUUCUUAUUAUACCGCAGAUUAAACAAUCAUUAUAUAAUUUAAAAAAUCUUCCUCGUACAAAAACGAAGUGCAAUUGCUCAAUUUUUAAUUUCGAAGCAUUUAAUAAUACAAAAUAUAUAUACACAUGUAAGAUGGUUUCUUUUGCUUCGAGAUUUUUGUCGAUGCGAUUAUUUAUAAAAAAUGUAAAUUCAUAAUUUUUCUAUUAUCUUUCGUACAUGUAGGUAUGUAGAAAAAUAAUUCUUUAUAAAAUUGUAAUUUUUUAUCUACUGGUCACCUUUACCAGUUAUUUCCGAUCAGUAAUCUAGUAGUAUAGGCAUUUUCUCUUAAUCCUCUGAUAUUUCCUUU